GGGUUAGAACCCCUCACAAACGCGCGCAUAUCCAGCUGAGCUGGUCUUCACGUUGUUUAUAACCUGGUUCCAUUUAUAUUUAUACACUGAAACACACACUCACAUCUGACCUUUCCUCUUCUCUAUUGUUUAUAAAAGUUAAAACCCUAAUUCCUUUAUAUCAGCCGCUUACAUCUGUUUUUCCCUCUCAUUCUCAUGUCUGCUCAAUAUCUACAAAACAUACACACAAAUGGUCAUCAUAUAAAUCACAAGCAGGCCUCUCAUCCCUCUCUCGACUGUAUACGGCCGACUUUAAACCCACAACCACCUCACGCUCUAACUUUCCUCUAUUCCCCUCUCGAUCUCUCUACAUUUCGAACCAUCCACACAACCGUCAGAGAUCGGAGACACACACCAGAGUUACGUCGGAACUCGUAACGCUCGUCGGGCCUCGCCGGAGACCGAGAAGACGACCGGAGAGAACCGCAACCCGCCAAGAACCACCGCUAGAAGAUUUGAGGAGCAUCAAAGUCGCCGGAAGUAUACGUCGGAACUUGAAGACGUUGGCGAGCACAAUCGGAAACCGUUUUAUCUUCGUUUAGGGUAAUCGUGUUCGUCCUCUUGGAUUUCCCAACCCUUACUCGUGCGUUAUUUCAAGGAAAUUGUAUACGCAACCAAUGUUGAUGAUAAUGAGAUGAAAACGGAUAGCAAAGAUGCCUAGAUACUCA